AACUCUUAUAAAUGACCAAUUUUGAUUAUUUUUGGUGACCAGUCACUUUCGUGCAGAUUAGAAUAUGUUUUGAGAAAGGAAAAAACAUGAAAUAUCAUUUCAGUUUGGAACUACCUUGUUCCUGUUUGAAACAGAGGAGGCUAUCUUCCUGGUAUGACACAAUUCCGCCUUAUUAUAUGUCAGCCGUAAAAGUGUAACAUUAAGAAAAAUGGCUGUGUCUUUAUUCUCUAUAGUCUGGAAACAUCAAAGAAAAAUAAGGUACACAACGUUUAAAAUUGCCUCCCGAACCCUGUUAAAACGGAUUGUGACAGUGGCGCUGCCUAACGCUGGACACUUGCAUUUAAACGGAACAAUCUGCCCCACCUGUUCGAUUUCGCCUCGACACCUACCCACCUUACUUACUUCCCUAUUGGUUCUGCACCUUGAAAGGUUUUUUAAUUAUUU